GAUGCUACCCUGUGCCCAAAUUGGGAGACUGAGACUUCAAGAGAUUAAGAAACUUGGCCAAGGCCACAUAAGCAGCAAGCAACAGAGGAAGGCCGAGAAAG